CCCCUACUGUUCCACCCCGCCU
rnacentral:miRNA from 1 species